rnacentral:lncRNA from 1 species
GGCAAGGUAACAAAAUAACAACAAAAACUGACAAGAAAAUCCAACAAUUAUAACAACAUACUGUAAUAAAAGUUAUGUGAAUGUGGUCUCUUUCUCCUAAAAUAUCUUAUUGUACUGUACUUGGCUUUUUUCGGACUGCAGUUGUCUGUGGGUAGCUGACAUGGCAGAAAGUGAAACUGUGGAUAAGGGGAGACUACUGUUUACCGAUAUGGAAAGAUCUCUAAGAUAUGGUAUUUAGUGAAGUAAACAAGGGGCAAACAAUGUAUAGGCUACCAUUUCUGUAAAAUGGUGGUGGGCUUCAGGAAAACACAGAUUUGUAUUUAUUCGCAUAUGCGUAAAAAAUGUCCAGUAGUGUACACAAGUAAGAAACUAAUAACAUAACAAUGGUCACUCCUUUGAAGGGUUUGGUAAUGGGUGCAAAAACUGUACAGAGGGGACAAUGGUAGCUGAGUAAGUUUUCACUGGAUUCCUUUCUAGGCUUUUGGUUUUGGACCAUGAGAAUGGCUUACAUAUUCAAAAGGUAAGUACAUAUUUUAAAAAUUUAAUUAAACACCACACCCCCAGCCUAAACACUGACAUUGUUCCAAGUCAAUAGAGGGUUGGGGAAUCUGCAUUUUGCAAUGAGCAGCCUGGCUGAUUCUGAUGUAGAUGGUCCAAGGAACCAAGGAACUGUGGGGCACAUAGCCACAGACUAUGUUCAUGCAACAACUAUUUUUUAUUGAACGUUGGAUACAUGUAUCUGUCCAUUUCACAAAUUAUGUUUUAUUAUAUUAAAGAAUAAACCUCAUUUCUUCUACAACUUGAACAUCCAGCUUACUAUACACGGGAUCUGACUUAAUGUCAUACAGACCACUUACAAUGUGAUAGAAGCAUUGGAAGCAUUUGUUGAAAAAUAACAAUUUCACUCAAAGCACACUUUAUAGAUAGAGUUUUACAUGGUCACAGAGUUAAGUCUGAACAUUUAAAGGGAUCUGAGUCAUUCAUAUUAAUAUUGUGAAUUUCUUAUAAAUAAUUCAUUUGUUCAAGGAGUCCAGGCAAAGCCAAGCCGUGACAUUAUUUACACUAAGUACCACACCUGGAACUUGUUCUGAGUUAUUUAACACAGAGUACAUUUUUCAAUGCAAUAAAUAUUUACAGUUAAUAGUAGCAAGUACAAUUAUAAUUUAUGAAAUAUGAGUCUAAUAUUUAAAACAAAACAUAAAAUGACAUUAAAGAAGUUUGUGCCAUUUAUUUUUACAACUCACCGAAUUGACUGUUUUACGAAUUUUAUUACCCAAAACUCUACUGACUUGAAUGCAAGAAAGGUCAUGUUUGAAUCAGUAAAGCCCAGACUGCAGAAAAAAAAAAACUUUUAGAAGAUAAUGAGUUUUACUUUCUUAAUGUUAUACACGUAUUAUUAAUGUCAUUAGCUAAAAUGGAAGCAAAGUUAUGAAAAUCUGGAUUCACAACAGGCUCAAAUUAUAUAAUGUACCUUCAACAUUGAAGUUCUGAGUUAUGCCAACAUUUUUAAGCUUGUCUGGGAGUUAAUGAGGCCUUGAAUGUACGAGGUUUUACUGUCCAUUAAAAUUAUUCUUUUAAAAUGUCAUAAAAUUAUGUGAGUCCUUUCAUGUCAUUAUAUGACUCUGUGAGUGAAUUUUAAAUUGGGGGAAAAAAGGCAAAUAAUCUUAUCUUCUAGAAAUGUGAGCUCAGAGAGGGCCGAGAGACAGUGGUGUCUGUGUUUAGAACAGGGCACCUAGGGCUGGGCACUCAGAUACCUAAGUCCAUAUCUGAGUUUCUUAUCUGUCCCCUUAGUCCAGGAGAUGCUUUUCUGUUAGAGGCUAUUUAUGUAGCCUGGGUCCCCAGACUCUAGGAAACCAACCAUUGUCGUAUCUUACUCUAUUUUGGGGAAAGUGGGGGCGUAGGUGGUUCUACCUCUACCUGACACUUUUUCUCCAACUAAUUCUGAUUCAAAGAAAGAUGGCUAGAUUCGCUGUUCUCAUUUGGGUUUUCUCUCUAACUUGGUCCUUAGCAAGUUUUUUUCUCUCCUCAGACACAGAACUAGGUGGGAAAUUCUUCCCAGGGCUUCCAGUUGCAAGUGAAUUGUGUCUCUGAGUAGGGGAGAAGGAGGGUGCGAACAACUGACCUAAGGGACUUUCUGACUCACCCGCUUUGUGCUGCAUUUCAGCCUCUGCCCUCAACAAUUCCUUAAACUAGGUGCCUCAAUGCUCUUUGCAUACAUUCUUUGACUCUAUCAUUAGUUCAGGUCUCUGGACAAAACCUAGAAUAGGGAGUGGAGUUUUCUUCUAAGUACUGUGAACUUAAUUUUUCACACAGGUUGGAUUUGGGAAGCAAUGCUAAGCAGUGGAAUGGACAUCGACAUAGAGAGAUCAGCUCCACACUUAUACUCUGCCACUCAACUUCCCCAUGUGACUUGAGGAUCAGUAAGUAAUCUCCCUGCCACGGCUUCAUGUGCCCAGCACUGGACUUGGCACAUUGUCAGUGUUUGGUGAAGUUGAGCCCCUUCCUUUCCAGCACUUCCAGAGCCACAGCACUCCAUUCAGGUUUUGGUCAAAUUUGGUGUAUUUCUUGGCCAGUGUCUUUGCUCCCAAGGAUCCCACCCUUCUUUGUCUUAGCCUUCCAUUUCAUUGUGGCAUUGAAUGUUGUGCCCACCAAUAUGUCUCUCCUGGGGCAGCCCACAAUGACCCUGUCCACUCCCUUGUGCCAAGUUAAACAGAUUCACUUUGGGGACAAGAGAAUAUCCUGUAAAGUGGAGAAGUGAUGAUCAGCACUGCUCUUCAGUAUAACUGAAUAGCCCAUGGGAAUGAAGUACAGUUAGUUCACCUCGAAACAAUAUGAAAUCAGAUUAAGCUGAACCAGAUGAAAUUGCCUUUUUGUAGUUCGAAAAUGGCCCAAUCUUAACAGUUUCAUGUUUCAGCCUCAUAGUUCCAUGGGCCUUUUAAUGUAAUGGUAGAUGGUCACAUUUCCAUAGUAAAGGAUGUAAAGCAGCUCUUUGGCCAGCAGGGAAGGCUUGGAUGAAAUGAGGUAAUGAGUAUAAAAGUACUUUAUAGACCAUGAACACUAGGUAAAUGCAAUGUUUUUAAAAAAAUUAGUCAUGGACAUGAUUCCACAGUAAUAUUCUAACCCAGGGAUUCUUAAAUUUAACAUAUGUGCAACAUUGAAGCUUUUUAAAAAUUUAGAUACAUUCUACUGAAUGAAUUUCUAAUGUGAAGUCUCAUAAGAGAAAAGUCUGUUCUCAGUGUGUUAUUUGUUGAUUGCUCUGAAUAUAUUCAGCUGGACUUAAUGCUUGGCCGCCUGCAAUAUAACAAAGGGUGUUUCUGAAGGCCAAAGUUACAGUAAGAGAUUGUGAGAUAGUGAAAUUGUCGUGUGUAUUUGAGAAGUGUGUGUCUGGGUGUGGGCUAGGAGAAAUGAAAUGACCAUCCAGAUACGGAAUAAAGUAGAGCUUGGUAAGCCUUGGUUUCAUCGAACAGUGUGCACAAAGCCUAGGCCCAUGAAAGCCUAGGCCCAAGAAAGAUUCUUUAAUCCCUUUGUUUUCAGCUGUUAAUCCAUUUCAUAAGAAUACAGCCAAAAAUUAGACAAGUGUACAAAAGGUGCUCCAUUCCCCCAGAAACCCAGGGAUAAUUCUAAGCUACUCUCUAACAAUAGCUACCUCCUGUUGUGGAUGUGAAGAGCACAAAUGGCAAGAAAGUUUGCACCCUUCCCAUCUCACCACGAUACAAGUGGAUGGCUCUUCAUUCAGCUUCCAUACAGUCAGCUUCCCAGGGUGAUGGUUUCUAGCUGGCUUCCAGGAACAGUGACUUAGCCACUUUUUAGUCCACAGAUGAUGCCAUUCAAUGUGUACUCCCCAAACAAAGUUAAUCUCUAUUACCAGAAGCUACUUGAUGCAUGAAGACACUUUGAAACAAAUAACCAACUGCUGCUUUUGACAUGAAUGAAGACUUUACAAUGCAAGGAUGCUCAUGUGCUAUUGUCAAGUUCAUUUAUUUCUGUUCAGUGUUCAUUUUCAUAACAAGAUGAGCUUGGUUCAUCUGCAGCAGCCCCUAAACAGUUUAUUUACCUAGGGGUUCUCCAUCCUCCCGGAUGGAACCAAAUUGUUUGUGGACAAAGAGGGAAAUCCAGAGCUUGUUAAUGAGGCGGAAGGCAGGUUCAGUGUGAGAGUGAAGGCAGUCAAAAAAACAGGGUUUAGCCAUCCACAUUUAUGGAGAAUCAUCAAAUCAACAACAGGGAGGGGCCCUGUCUUCACUAAGCAGGGAGGAUCUUCUUGCUAAAGAAUAUCACUCCCAAUAGCAGCUGCACCUUCCCUGCCAGCAGCAGCCGUUGGUGGGAAGAUUGCUUUGUUUAUUGCUUAAUCUAUCACUGUUGAGCUGCCUGCCUCAGGGAGGCUCAAUUUAAGAUAGAUUGAAAGGUAGUGUCUGUCAAUUGAAUAAACACAGAUGGUUUUCCACAGCAAAAAUUGAUUUUUUUUUCUUGCCAAAGACAUAAGUGCUAAACGUGAUUAUCUUUGGAAGCCAGGCGUGAAAUGUCUCAGCUCCAGCCCCUGCCACACUCUGCUUUGGCAGAGAAGUGAUACACGUGGGGACUUGGGUCUCUCUCACGUAAUUUUAGGUUCUUGAGGUGGAAUAAAAUAAUAAAAUUUUGAUUUCCCUAGAGAAGGGCCCAACUAUGCCCUUCCUGGUAAGAAGGUCUAAGUCAAUCCAUUAGUUGAUUCACAGAAUAGUUUUACCAGUCCUUGGUCACUGGCUGGCAAAGGCCUCCUUCAAUCCUUUCAUUUAAGAGUCUCGAAGAAGUAGUAAGAUUUGGCCGGGCACAGUGGCUCAUGCCUGUAAUCCCAGCACUUUGGGAGGCCAAGGUGGGUGGAUCACCUGCGGUCGGGAGUUCGAGACCAGCAUGACCAACGUGGAGAAACCCCAUCUCUACUAAAAAAAUACAAAAUUAGCUGGGCAUGGUGGCGCAUGCCUGUAAUCCCAGCUACUUGGGAGGCUGAGGCAGGAGAAUCCCGUGAACCCAGAAGGCAGAGGUUGCGGUGAGCCCAGAUAGUGCCAUUGCACUCCAGUCUGGGCAACAAGAGCGAAACUCCAUCUCAAAAAAAAAAAAAAAAAAAAGUAAUAAGAUUCGCCUAAGGACACACAGCUACACUUAGACCUCUAUCUCCUCACUCUUUGUCCAGAAGCUAGGAAGAAGACCACACACAAUCUAUGCCAUGAUGUUAACUGAAGGAGACAUGAAGAUGAGCUCUACUCCCAAAAUGUCUCUGGAAGCAGGUAGAUCAGAGAUGCCUGAACGAGUUAUGCUAGGUAUUCAAAAGGCUAUACAUGUUAGCAACUAACUAAGCAUAGAGUCAUUUAUAUUCAAGGGUUUUGAAGAAAGCCAAGGGCAAAAUUGUGGAACACUAGUUCAAAAUAACAGAUUCAUGGAGGUUGAAGAAGGGUGAAUAGGAAGAGUAUCCUUUGUAUAAUGAGAAGACUCAGCAAUAUGUUUUCUUAUGUCUCUUACAGCUCUAACUCCAAAACAUAGCAAGCUCGCGGAACAUCAGGGUUCAUGCAAAGUAUUCCAAGGAGCCCCUUGAAGCAACAGAAUGGAUUGCUCUUCUAUGGUGGAAUGGCACCCUGGAUGAUUAAAACCGUAGCAGCAAACAAAACCUCCAUCAAAUAUUCCUGAAAACAGAGUCAAGUUAUAUUUCUAAAGUACUAGCGUCUGCUUAAAGAAAUGACAAGGUGAAGUCUUUCACAAAGUAAGCAUUCAAUGUAUGAUUUCUCUGCUAUGUAAAUCUGGUUGUUCAUACAGUUUCUAUGACAUAAUUGGCCACGAC